rnacentral:rRNA from 1 species
GAUGGACGCUGGCGGCGUGCCUAAUACAUGCAAGUAGAACGCUGAAGGAGGAGCUUGCUCUUCUGGAUGAGUUGCGAACGGGUGAGUAACGCGUAGGUAACCUGCCUGGUAGCGGGGGAUAACUAUUGGAAACGAUAGCUAAUACCGCAUGACAACAGUUAUUGCAUGAUAACUGUUUAAAAGGGGCAACUGCUCCACUACCAGAUGGACCUGCGUUGUAUUAGCUAGUUGGUGAGGUAACGGCUCACCAAGGCGACGAUACAUAGCCGACCUGGGAGGGUGAUCGGCCACACUGGGACUGAGACACGGCCCAGACUCCUACGGGAGGCAGCAGUAGGGAAUCUUCGGCAAUGGACGGAAGUCUGACCGAGCAACACCGCGUGAGUGAAGAAGGUUUUCGGAUCGUAAAGCUCUGUUGUAAGAGAAGAACGAGUGUGAGAGUGGAAAGUUCACACUGUGACGGUAUCUUACCAGAAAGGGACGGCUAACUACGUG